rnacentral:rRNA from 1 species
AAACCAACAGGGAUUGCCUUAGUAGCGGCGAGUGARGCGGCAAGAGCUCAAAUUUGAAAUCUGGUACCUUCGGUGCCCGAGUUGUAAUUUGAAGAAAGCUAUCUUGGAUUUGGCCUUUGUCUAUGUUCCUUGGAACAGGACGUCACAGAGGGUGAGAAUCCCGUGCGAUGAGGUGUCCAUUUCUAUGUAAGAUGUUUUCGAAGAGUCGAGUUGUUUGGGAAUGCAGCUCUAAGUGGGUGGUAAAUUCCAUCUAAAGCUAAAUAUUGGCGAGAGACCGAUAGCGAACAAGUACAGUGAUGGAAAGAUGAAAAGAACUUUGAAAAGAGAGUGAAAAAGUACGUGAAAUUGUUGAAAGGGAAGGGUAUUAGAUCAGACUUGGUAUUUAGUUAUCAUUACUCCUUGUGGGUGGUGCUCUAGCUUUUUACUGGGCCAGCAUCAGUUUUGGUGACAGGAUAAUAGCAAUUGAAUGUGGCUCUUCGGAGUGUUAUAGCUUUUGUUGAUACUGUCUACUGGGACUGAGGUCUGCGGCUUUGCCUAGGAUGCUGGCGUAAUGAUCCAAUACCGC